rnacentral:rRNA from 1 species
UACGGAGGGUGCAAGCGUUAUCCGGAUUCACUGGGUUUAAAGGGUGCGUAGGUGGGCUUGUAAGUCAGUGGUGAAAUCUCUGAGCUUAACUCAGAAACUGCCAUUGAUACUAUAGGUCUUGAAUCUUCUGGAGGUCAGCGGAAUAUGUCAUGUAGCGGUGAAAUGCUUAGAUAUGACAUAGAACACCAAUUGCGUAGGCAGCUUACUACACGAUCAUUGACGCCGAGGCACGAAAGCGUGGGAAGCAAACAGG